UACGGAGGGUGCAAGCGUUGCUCGGAAUUAUUGGGCGUAAAGGGUAGGUAGGUGGUCUCGUUUGUCUGAGGUGAAAGCCCAGGGCUUAACCCUGGAAGUGCCUCAGAAACGGCGAGACUUGAGUCCUGGAGAGGGUCGUGGAAUUCCCGGUGUAGCGGUGAAAUGCGUAGAGAUCGGGAGGAACACCAGAGGCGAAGGCGGCGACCUGGACAGGCACUGACACUCAACUACGAAAGCGUGGGGAGCAAACAGG
rnacentral:rRNA from 1 species